rnacentral:rRNA from 1 species
CCUACGGGUGGCUGCAGUGGGGAAUAUUGGACAAUGGGCGAAAGCCUGAUCCAGCCAUGCCGCGUGUGUGAAGAAGGCCUUCGGGUUGUAAAGCACUUUCAGUGGGGAAGAAAGCCUUGGGGCUAAUACCCUCGAGGAAGGACAUCACCCACAGAAGAAGCACCGGCUAACUCCGUGCCAGCAGCCGCGGUAAUACGGAGGGUGCGAGCGUUAAUCGGAAUUACUGGGCGUAAAGCGCGCGUAGGCGGUCUGUUAAGCCGGUUGUGAAAGCCCCGGGCUCAACCUGGGAACGGCAUCCGGAACUGUCAGGCUAGAGUGCAGGAGAGGAAGGUAGAAUUCCCGGUGUAGCGGUGAAAUGCGUAGAGAUCGGGAGGAAUACCAGUGGCGAAGGCGGCCUUCUGGACUGACACUGACGCUGAGGUGCGAAAGCGUGGGUAGCAAACAGGAUUAGAUACCCCGGUAGUC